AAACAGGAUUAGAUACCUGGUAGUCCACGCCGUAAACGAUGUCGAUUUGGAGGUUGUGCCCUUGAGGCGUGGCUUCCGGAGCUAACGCGUUAAAUCGACGCCUGGGGAGUACGGCCGCAAGGUUAAAACUCAAAUGAAUUGACGGGGGCCCGCACAAGCGGUGGAGCAUGUGGUUUAAUUCGAUGCAACGCGAAGAACCUUACCUGGUCUUGACAUCCACAGAACUUUCCAGAGAUGGAUUGGUGCCUUCGGGAACUGUGAGACAGGUGCUGCAUGGCUGUCGUCAGCUCGUGUUGUGAAAUGUUGGGUUAAGUCCCGCAACGAGCGCAACCCUUAUCCUUUGUUGCCAGCGGUUAGGCCGGGAACUCAAAGGAGACUGCCAGUGAUAAACUGGAGGAAGGUGGGGAUGACGUCAAGUCAUCAUG
rnacentral:rRNA from 1 species